AAGCGGUGGAGCAUGUGGUUUAAUUCGAAGCAACGCGAAGAACCUUACCAGGUCUUGACAUCCCGAUGCUAUUUCUAGAGAUAGAAAGUUACUUCGGUACAUCGGUGACAGGUGGUGCAUGGUUGUCGUCAGCUCGUGUCGUGAGAUGUUGGGUUAAGCCCCGCAACGAGCGCAACCCCUAUUGUUAGUUGCCAUCAUUCAGUUGGGCACUCUAGCGAGACUGCCGGUAAUAAACCGGAGGAAGGUGGGAUGACGUCAAAUCAUCAUGCCCCUUAUGACCUGGGCUACACACGUGCUACAAUGGUUGGUACAACGAGUUGCGAGUCGGUGACGGCGAGCUAAUCUCUUAAAGCCAAUCUCAGUUCGGAUUGUAGGCUGCAACUCGCCUACAUGAAGUCGGAAUCGCUAGUAAUCGCGGAUCAGCACGCCGCGGUGAAUACGUUCCCGGGCCUU
rnacentral:rRNA from 1 species